CUACUACUACUCUUGCUUUGGUCGGAGGCGAUUUAUUAGGUUAUGUAAUGUAUGAUGUCACCCAUUACUAUUUGCACCAUGGACAACCAACAGGUCAAGUAACUCGACAUCUUAAGAAAUAUCACUUGAAUCACCAUUUCCGUAUCCAGGAUAAAGGCUUUGGUAUUACUUCCUCGAUAUGGGACAAGGUGUUUGGAACACUACCUCAAUCAAAAGCAGCGGGAAAGGGUAGAUAAUUUAAUUAGCAUUUGCUCAUUGCAAUGUUUUAGUGGUUUGAACAUAUGUUUUUCUUCCUUAUCAUUCUUUUACCGCUGUGGUGCUUCUUAUCGAUUCUAUGGCAUAUUUUUGAUAGUAUUUGUUUCUGAAGUUUAGCAUGUCUGGAUGGUGUUGACUUGCCCUUUCUUCCAACCCAAAAAAAAAUGUAUAAAAUGAAUUUAUUGUCUUGGAUUCAGUAUUUAUUUAUGAA